GCAUCGAUGAAAGAACGUAGCGAACUGCGAUACUUNGUGUGAAUUGCAGAAUCCCGUGAACCAUCGAGUCUUUGAACGCAAGUUGCGCCCAAAGCCAUUAGGCCGAGGGCACGUCUGCCUGGGCGUCACG
rnacentral:rRNA from 1 species